rnacentral:rRNA from 1 species
UGGGGGAUAUUGCACAAUGGGCGAAAGCCUGAUGCAGCGACGCCGCGUGGGGGAUGAAGGCCUUCUGGUUGUAAACUUCUUUUGCUCUGAACAAGGCAUGCUAAUGGGUGUGUUGAGUGUAGGGGUUGAUUAGCGCCGGCUAACUACGUGCCAGCAGCCGCGGUAAUACGUAGGGCGCGAGCGUUGUCCGGAAUUAUUGGGCGUAAAGGGCUUGUAGGUGGCUGGUUGCGUCUGUCGUGAAAGCUCAUGGCUUAACUGUGGGGUUGCGGUGGGUAAGGGGUGGCGGGAGUGGAGUAGGGGAGGCUGGAAGUAGUGGUGGAGCGGUGGAAUGCGCAGAUAGCAGGAGGAAGACCGGGGGCGAAGGAGGGUCUCGGGGCGGUUACUGACACUGAGGAGCGAAAGCAUGAGGAGCGAACAGG